ACCUAGUCUCAGGGAGGUUAACUCUGAAGAGCCCUUCGAUCUCCACUGAGUUAGGGCUCAUCUGUGAACGAGACUUUGGUCUUCGCAUGACUCUCUGUUAAAAUAAAGGUUACAUUUGGAGAGCCAGGAGACUAGACAUGGAGACAUGGAGACAUGAUUCCUGAUGGGAGGGACCCAGACACUCCGUCUCUUCUCCUCCACACUUCUCUUCUCCCAAUUUCUUCUUCUCGCUCCACGCCUUCACUAUCGUAUUCCCCCUUCAACACCCUUCUCUCUUUCAACUGUUACUGCACAAACCUUUUGUGUGGUCAUGGACAUUGUUUGCAGUCUACUAUUAUUGCCCAUGAACUUGAAGGAUUUUUUGACAACUCUGUCUGAUUUGUAAUGCAGAGGAUGACAACAAUAAUUUUGGAGAAAAGAGUCUGAUUAGCAUCAAUCAAUGUAAAAUUGCUGUCCAUCUAUAUCUUGAAACAUUGAUAACUUGGCAAUGACAAUGACUGUCUGAAUUCUUGGGAGGUUGUUGUUGUAUUUUACUGGUACGGUAUAAACAGAUUCUAGACGUAUUACAUUCUCAAAAUCCACUAUGAAUAUUAUACCUGGUUUCCCUGCA